rnacentral:rRNA from 1 species
UGAAUACGAGAUGCUACGGCAUCGAAGCAGUCUAUGUCAUACUUCCAAGAAAAGCUUGCACUGUCAUAAACAAAUAAUGCCUGUACCAUAACCGACACAGGUGGGUAGGUAGAGUAUACUAAGGGGCGCGAGAUAACUCUCUCUAAGGAACUCGGCAAAAUGACCCCGUAACUUCGGGAGAAGGAGUGCCUUAUUUUAUAAGGUUGCAAUAACAAGAUCCAAGCAACUGUUUACCAAAAACACAGGUCUCCGCUAAGUCGUAAGACGAUGUAUGGGGGCUGACGCCUGCCCAGUGCCAGAAGGUUAAAGAAGUUGGUUAGCAUUAGCGAAGCUGAUAACUGAAGCCCUGGUGAACGGCGGCCGUAACUAUAACGGUCCUAAGGUAGCGAAAUUCCUCGUCGGGUAAGUUCCGACCCGCACGAAAGGCGUAAUGAUUUGGAUACUGUCUCGGAGAGGGGCUCGGUGAAAUAGACUUGUCUGUGAAGAUGCGGACUACCUGCACCAGGACAGAAAGACCCUAUGAAGCUUUACUGUAACUUGAGAUUGAAAUUGGACUUUAUUUGCGCAGUAUAGGUGGGAGACGUUGAAAAUAUUCUUGCGGGAAUAUUGGAGUCAUCAGUGAGAUACCACUCUUAUAAUGUUAGAUUUCUAACUUUGUAUCAUUAUCUGGUCAAAGAACAGUCUCAGGCGGGCAGUUUGACUGGGGCGGUCGCCUCCCAAACGGUAACGGAGGCGCACAAAGGUUUCCUCUGAACGUGUAGAAAUCGUAUCUAGAGUGUAAAGGCAUAAGGAAGCUUGACUGUGAGACCUACAAGUCGAGCAGGGACGAAAGUCGGUCUUAGUGAUCUGACGGUGCUGAGUGGAAAGGCCGUCACUCAACGGAUAAAAGUUACUCUAGGAUAACAGGCUGAUCUCCCCCAAGAGUUCACAUCGACGGGGAGGUUUGGCACCUCGAUGUCGGCUCAUCGCAUCCUGGGGCGGUAGUACGUCCCAAGGGUUGGGCUGUUCGCCCAUGAAAGCGGUACGCGAACUGGGUUCAGAACGUCGUGAGACAGUUCGGUCCAUAUCCGGUGUAGGCGUUAGAAUAUUGAGAGGAGCCUUCUUUAGUACGAGAGGACCGAGAAGGACAUACCUCUGGUGUACCAGUUAUCGUGCCAACGGUAAACGCUGGGUAGCUAUGUAUGGAGAGGAUAACCGCUGAAAGCAUCUAAGUGGGAAGCCCACCUCAAGAUAAGUAUUCUCA